AAAAAAAAAAUUCCCAGUUGAACAGGGUAAUGUCAAGAGAAAAUGCAGGUUUGGAUAUAGCAAAGUAUUUAAAAGGGACGGAGUGAAAAAGAGUAAAUCCAGAAAGAAUUUUUAAUCUAUUGACAAUCCUUUAUGAAUAUUUAGCUCAAGGCAUCUGAUGAAUUGCAUUUGGAGGGGAGAGAUCUCUAAGCAAUUUUAGUAAUAUGGCAACAAUAGGACACAUGCUGCACAAAAAGAAGGAAGAGAACAACACAUCAAUUUAAAAGAUCCAGUUAGAACUUACAACAAAAUCAAACUAAUAACUUGAG
rnacentral:misc_RNA from 1 species